UUGAUUUAAGUUAUUAUUUUAUUCACAAAAACAUGUCUUUGAAUUAUGUUUUUGGCUACGAAAUAUUAUACCGAUUGAAACUAAAAUUAAAAAAAAAAUUAGUACAACAAACUAAACCGAACGUUUAACCAUAUGCAAAACCCAGUGUUUUGAAACCCGACCCGGACCCGCGGUUGAACCGGUAAACCCGGCGACCCAAAAAAAAUUCGGUUUGGGUUUUGUGAAAAGCUUAAUAUUUAGAAACCCGCAAAAACCCACAAAACCCGAGUAGAACCCGGAACCCGAUACCGGUUAAACCACUGGUUGAACCAAUAAAUAACUUUUACUUUUUUUUUUUAAUUUUUAAUUAUGUUUUUAGAUUAUGUUUUUAGAUUAUGUUUUAUAUUCUAAAUUUCUAAUUAAGAAGUUAUAUACCGACACAAAAAGUUAGGUUUUUCUUUUUUCAGUUUUAUCUUUGUAAAUUUUAGAUUUUAAUGAAGAUUUCAAUAUGCCACUUGAACCAAAACUAGUUGAUGUGAUUUGAUGUUAGUUUAUUUCUGCUAUUGAUAUUUAUUAUAAUGAUUUUUUUGCUUUUGGUUUAUUUUGUAUUUGAAAUUUAAUUUAUUAUUCACAUUAAACAUUUAUAAAUUU
rnacentral:lncRNA from 1 species